GCAAGUCGAAUGAGAGGAAAGAAAGUAGUGUUGGGUAUGGUGUGAUUGGGGAAAAGGUAUUGAAAUAUCAGUGUUUGUGUUCUGAUAUUGAAUGGCUCAUCCUUUAAGCAUCCCCUGAACUAAGUCUGAGUACCAGCAGGGCCAUAAUGCUUAGUAGAACAUCAAAGUAAAUGUUGCCUAACUUAAGUCUUCAUUUAUCUUUCUAGGAAACCCUGCAAGUGCCUCCUGUCCAUUACAAAUUAAUCCCACUGUAGUUGUGGUGAGAUUUGGAGGCUCCUUAUCAGCCAACUGCACCUCACUAUCUAACCAGACUGAAGGAAUGGACUGGGAGUCUCCAUAUGGACCAGUGAGCCUUACCCAGGGUGUCACUUUUCUUCUCUUUACAAUUGACUCUGUGCCAGAGUGGGUGAUAGAAGCAAUGUGUUAUGUGAAUCUCCAUGAUGGUGAUCAGUGUCAAAAAGUGUUACCAGUCACUGUUUAUAAAAUGCCAGACAGUGUGUCAUUGAGACAGAAUUCAACUACAGUGAAAGAAGGUGAACAGUUUACCAUAGAGUGUGACAUUGUUAAUGUUGCACCAGCAAGAAAUCUCUCUGUGCUUUGGCACAAAGGAAAUAAGAUCUUAAAUUCUGAGACAUUUGAUGAAUCCAGUCCAUCUCCGGUCAGUAAGUCAUCUGUCCUCACUCUGACUGCUCAUGGAGAUGAUGAUGGAGCUGAGAUCUGGUGUGAAACAAAACUAAACUUGUGGCCAGGAGAACAAGGUCCAACCAUGAUGCGCUCAAAGUCACAUAGUGUGACUGUACUCAGGGCUCGAACAACCUUUGGAGUCAUGCUGGCAAUAGGUGUGGCCGUCAGAGUUUUGCUCCUCAUUGCUGUUGCAUAUUAUGUGACACCCAAUGGCACAAUCUCUUUCCACAAAUGUGGCUAUCAACCAGGAGCUCCCUCAGGAUGAGAAUAAGAAAAUCCUGAAAGAGAAUAUGCAGCCCUGAACCUCAAGCAUGAUUGGAUUGUGCAGCAGAUCCAGAACAGACCAGAAUGUCCACCUCUGAAUGGCUACAGAAAAAAAUACAAUAAGUUGAGGCACUGUUAAACUCACAGGAAAUGCAAAAUAAAAUAUACAAGGUUGUAAACCUCUUUGCCAGUAAUUCAGAAUAGCUUUCUUUGGCUGUUGUCAUGAGCGAAAUGAAAAUCGAAAGGAAAAUUGUAGGCCUAGAUACAAACUCAGUAACCUAAGCAUAUAAGCAUACCAUUGUAUUUAAAUCACUAGGAGCACAAUCUAAUUUUGCCUUAGCCUGCUGCACAGACACAUGGUAUAUGGAAUAAUUCUGCUCUGUCCUGCACACAGAUUUGAUAUCUCUAUAAAAGCCAUAAACUAUUUGCUUAUUUUGGGAACAUUUGGUGCACAUGAAACAAAGGCACCUGAAUUCUCAGUGUUUUGUUGGAGUCUGUCCUCGGGAGGGUGCUGUGGGAGAAUCCAACAGGUUUUCAGGUAUGGACGCCUUCAAGUGCAGUCGGGAAUAUUGCUAUUAGACAUUUCUACCCAGUAUGAAAA